UCUCUCAACCCGCCUUCCCCUCGUUUCCCCUCGUUUCCAUUUCAUUGACAAGCACCACAUCGCCUCCUUUGCCCCUCUCACAAACCAGUGCCGUCGCUGCCUUCCAGACCGCCUCCUGGGUCCUGCCUGGACGCCGCCGCUCGACCGCGCCGACUACCACUUGUAUGCCGCCGCCAAAAUCCCCCGCCGCCGCGCCCAACCUCCUCGCCGAGUCGCCUAUGUCGGAGGAAUCCGACCCAUGGUGGACGGCAGCGGCCUGACCUCUGCCAGUCUUUCCCCCGCACGGUCGUACACACACGUCGAUGUCGCGGCCGAUACGCCGGCGGGAUCUGCUCGGUAGGCCGGCAACUGCACGUCUCCAAUAGACGUGGCUGGUUCACGUCCCUGUCGUGGGCGGACAUGCUGCGUUUUGCGUCAGAUCUGAGCGGCUCCGCGGCCUGUGGCCGACAGUGGGACUUGCGGCUGGGGACCUCUUCGGACGCGUCCUGGCCAUGGCCGCCACAGAUGAGAGGGAAGCGGGUCACACCGUCCAAGAGAGGGAAGAAUUGACGCCGCGGAAGAGGGACCCAUUAGAAGAGCAGCGCCUCCGCCAUCCCGACGAACUCCAGGACGGCUCGAUUCCAGGUCAUUGAGGUAAGCAUUGAUACGCAACUGCCUCCGUCCCUAAUGUAUGCCUUUUUUUUGUAGCGUAUUCAAGUGAGUUACUUCCAUGUUGAGAUAAGCUUUUUCCAACAAGGCUGGCGAGAAGAGAGGAAGGAGCAGAAGUACCAGAGCUCCGGGUGCGGCCGUGCCGUGGUGGGGUGGCAAGCUGGGGAAUGGAGUCGGCCGUGAAGCAGCUCGGUGGGGGAAUACAGAGAGAAUUUCUUGCGAUGUGGUGUGACAUUAAUUUGCUUGAUGCUUUUGGAGAUGUCAGUGGUCAGGCUGUAGUAACUAUGUGUGUGUUGCAGACUAGAGUACUAAGAAAAGGUAUGUUUUUGGCACAUGAUGCUACGAUAUCAAGUAAUUUAAGGAGUUUCAUGUUUAAUUAUAUCAUAUGUUCUAUCAUCUGGUAAGUAUUUAGGAUAUCUUUUGCUUGAUUUUCGUUUUGAUGCUGCCUAUUGUUACCGUGGAUGCCAAUGAAGGAGAGCACUUGCUAGGCUGAUAACCAAUUGAAUUUUCUUAUGACACAUGUUUUUUCAAGUUCAUCUGUAAAAUCUAAUGGACUCUAAGGGCGUCAGUUGUUUCUGUGGUUCAAAUAGUGCCCUUUCAGAAUUACUGAUACUUAAUUAUCUAAAUCUCCAGAGGUUAGUAAAUUAGAAAAAUAAUUAUUGGAAUAUCACUAUUAUAUCUCAGAAUAUGUACUGUAUAUCCCUCUGGCCUCCACCCAUCAGCAUAGUACUAUGCAUUGCAUCAAAGCAGUGUAUGUCUAGCAGCCGACGACGCGACGAAACCAGGAUUACCUCUCGCUGAGUGGUGGCCAUUGAUGCACUCCAGGUGACGCUCAUUGGAUUUUUAUGUUGAAAAUUUGGUUGGUACUCACCCACUCAUCACAUCCUAAGACUAAUGUAUUACCUGGUGUUUUGGCCUAACUAGAAACUGGAUUGGUUAGAAUUCGGUUGCUAUCAUAACUAUGUCCGCUGAAAUAAAAUUUUGGUAAUGUUUCAUCCAUGCUUCUGUAAGGAGCGUUCAUAUUAUUGGGUUUGGGUGGUAGCAUGUGUAGUUUAUUCUUCCUUCAUGCAGUAUUAUAUAUGGGUAGGUGCAUUAUAAUGGAUUUGUUAAAUUUUAUUACUCUUCAUCAAUGGCUUGAUUAGUUUUUGGAGAACACGUAAAAUCUGAACAUACCUGGUACAUAUUUUUGUUUGGUUGUUUGAAGACGAUGAUUUUGGUUGAAAAUCCUCUCUUCAUGACCAGUGGGAACAUUUUUAGUGCAUCUCUCUACUUUUGGUAUCUCCACUCUAUAAUAUCACAGAAAAUGACUCUUAUCCUAUUCGUUUUCAGUGGUGCCCAGAUGUUUCCCUUGGUGACAAGGCAUAUGUCAUGUUUCAAAGUUCACUUUAUCAAAUACAGUGUUCCACAAAAAACCGGACAUCUGGUUUGAUCUUCUAUUUUUUAAACCUUUUUCUUCCAGCGAAUUUGAUGUAUGGGGCAUGUAGCAUACAGUGGUAGCGAUUUGAUGUAUCACGCAUGUAGUAGAGCCGAGGUAGUGAUUUUGAUGUAUGGGGCAUGUAGCAAAGCAAUGCUAGGAUUUCAAGGAUUGGAGAAAGUGAGGUCUAAUUCAUUUCUUUUGCUCCUCUGGUUGUAAGCACAAGUUCUCCGAAUCUUCUUAAAUGAAGAAAGUUGUCUUCUUACUUUUGAGAGGUGAAUAAAGGAUUUUCUUGGGGUUAUGCUGUUAA